rnacentral:rRNA from 1 species
UGGAAUUACCUAAGGUGUAGGGCGUAUCCGAUCACCAUCAUGAGCCAGCAGGUAACACAUUAGUAUCCACCUGGGGAGUACGGCCGCAAGGUUGAAACUCAAAGGAAAUUGACGGGGCCCGCACAAGCAGUGGAAUUAUGUGGUUUAAUUCGAAGCAACGCGAAGAACCUUACCAGGGCUUGACAUCCUCUGACCACCCUAGAGAUAGGGUUUCUCUUCGGAGCAGAAUGACAGGUGGUGCAUUGUUGUCGUCAGCUUCGUUCCUUGGAAGUUUGGGUUAAUCCCGGCACCAGGCGCCAACCCUUAUGUUUUAGUGCUACGCAGGAGCACUCUAGACAGACUGCCGUUGACAAAACGGAGGAAGGUGGGGAUGACGUCAAAUCAUCAUGCCCCGUAUGACCUGGGCCUCACACGUACUACAAUGGCUGCCAACAGAGGGAAGCGGGGCAAAAAAUGCAGAGCAAAUCCCCAAAAGCAGUCUUAGUUCGGAUUGCAGGCUGAAACUCGCCUGCAUAAAAUCGGAAUUGCUAGUAAUCGCAGAUCAGCAUGCUGCGGUGAAUACGUUCCCGGGCCUUGUACACACCGCCCGUCACGCCAUGGGAGUCGGUAACACCCGAAGCCUGUAGCCCAACCGCAAGGAGGACGCAGUCGAAGGUGGGAUUGAUGACUGGGGGAAGUCGUAA